rnacentral:tRNA from 2 species
GGUAGAGUAACGCCAUGGUAAGGCGUAAGUCAUCGGUUCAAAUCCGAUAAGGGGCUUUUUACUUUUUUUCAU